rnacentral:sRNA from 1 species
CUCUCAAAUGUCUUUUUCUCGUCUUUCGAUGCGGUGAACUUCGGGUUUAUUGUAAAACUCAAAACACGUUCACAUGCGUGUGUUUGUUUUUGUUUGUCUGCUUAUUCGGCAACAAACGGGAACAACAACAACUACCCCAGCAAACGGCUCAAAACAAACACCCUGUGAAUGUUGGUUGCUGCUGCACUGAAGAAGUUCCUGGAUCUGCUUACUCAACAGGACACAGCAGGCGAAUGUAUGAAAAACAUGUCACUGCUACAAGUUAAGAAUUUGAAGCUUCUAGAGGCCCUCAAGAUGUGAUAUCGAAAUAUUCAUUUGUAUGAAAGCUAUUUCCAAAGCUGAAAUAUGGGUCCAGUAACAAUAAAGGAUAUAUGGAAAUUUCAAGCAGAGUUCUUUAUUUUGUCGAGCCCAAAUUUUAUUCAACAGGCAGAAAGACGGAAGAACUUGGCUAGAUCAACUUAAUCGGGUUACAAACAGACUGACCGAUUUAGAUUACGGCAAAACCACGAAGGAUGGACAUAAACAAUCCGAAUCAAGUAGUGAUAACAAAAUGAUGACUGUAAUUACGUCCUUCAGGUCUUUGCAAAAAAGUGCCCUAUAUUCUAGUGUACUGCAACGGUACUGUAAGUCUUCACACCAUCUAACUAUCCACAAAACCAAAAAACAACCAUUUCACAUCACAUCCAGCGAAAUUGUCACUACAUUUUCUUAAAAGAAAUUUUAAAAUAAUGCAAAAAUUUAAUCACCACCAAAAAAUACCUAAAAUGCACAAUGUGUACACAAUUCGUAUGGCAAAUAAUCCCACUACAAGUAAAAUGCAACCCUGGACGUCUGGUUUGAUGUAUUUUUUGCUGCAAAUGAAAACAACAAGCGAGGGCUGUCAAAAAACCCCACAAUAACACCAGAGUAGGAGCAAGAGAGAGCGAAAGAAAAUUCAAAGAGAACAAACUAAAAUGAGAGCGAAAUAAUAAAAGCAAAAUCCAGAUACAAAUAUAUGUAUACCACGUAGUAACAACAACAAAAAACCAUGCAAAGUCUCGGCAUAAAAAGAAUAGAAAAAAGCAAAAGAUGAAAA